GUUCGGCCGGGGCCGGGUUUGAACCCGCCACCCUCGGUAUAUGGGGCCGGCGCCUUACCGACUGAGCCACAGGCGCCGCCCUGCAAGGCACAAAGAACAACACGAAAGGGAUGGCAGGACAAAAGACAAGGAAAUAAGGAGACACCCAUCUCAGGAUGCCUGGACGUAGAGUUAUACAGAAGACAGCAGUGACCACUUAGAUACACAGAGACACGGGAAGUGGAGUGCAGGUAUUGUCAGAGAUUUUACCCGAGAGGCCUGUCCCUUCCUCACACUGAGGACAUCCUGAAGAAGAACAUAGGAUAAGACAUGCUUAACAAAUGAUCAACUCAACUCCCAUGGACAGUAAUGGAAGAAUGCUAUCUGAGAAUGAAUAUUUUUUCAAUCUUUGUUCUCUGGUCAAAGGACACCUUUUAAAAAAGCAUUUUUAUGAGACGGAUGAGGACGAUGCACUCUGAGGACCUAGGUUUGAACUAUAGGGAGAGAUUUAAGUGAGACAUCUUUAUACUAGGAGUGUUUUAUAAAAGCAGGACUUUUUUCUUUCUUUCUUUGCCGUUAGCAGCACUGCUCCUUGAAGACUGCUGACGGUUUCAGAUUUCUGUAGGUAAAGACUCUGGAUGAACUUUGGAGCACUCUUCUUCUGUUGAGAAAACCUGAUAAAGUUCAGAAUGAAGCUAUUCUCAUCUGAAAUAAAUAUUCACUCAUUGUAUUGGAGAUUAUAAAAUCAUCAUAAAAUUGAACACAGAUAUACAUCAAAGUACUGAGUGUUUUGUUAAGAACAAUAAAAUGCUAUCUUUUUAGUUAGAAUGAGGGGCAUAUUUUCUCCAAAAUGUGAAUUUAGUCAGAGCUGUUGACUAUUCAUGGUAUAAGCUCUAAUGACAUAGCUGAGCACCAUGCCUUGUUGGGGCUGGUGGAGGGGCACAUGGAGGAGCAGGUGGAAGACUUUCCUGGAGGAAAUGUUUUUUUCCUACUGUCAAUCAUCUUGGGGCAGAAAAUGAGCUGGUUUGGAAUGAGAAGAAAAGACUUCCUUUGCUUUCUGCACUUGGAGAUGUAGAGAUGGCCGCAGAUGUUAUCGGGAGCUUUGAGCUGGUCCCCGACACGUGGAAACCUGCUGGGAGGUAAAGUCAUAUGUGGCGUUGUCAUUCUCCAAAGGUGCAGCCCUUCUCCUCAAACAUUUGACUGUGCUUAGAAUGAGUAGGAGAGCACACUGUGUCCACACUGACAUGGGAUCCAUGGGAAAUAGAGGGGAGGGCAGCCUGGAGGAAAGUCUUAGGAGGUGACAGAAGGGAGCCUGAAGAAGAGCCACAGUGCAGUGGAGCUCCAUUGGGACACACUACAGGGUGUGAAAUUUCCAUAAAUUAUGUGGGGAACAUAAUGGAUGCUUAAUAUUCCAAAUGAUGAGACUUCAGGUUAUCGUAAAUUGGACAUUAAUAAAAUAGUGUCUGUAUUUUGUAAUCCACAGGCUGGUGAGGUAUGAGGACACAUGGAUGACAUAAUUAAGGACUUCCUAAAAAUGUGACUUGAAACUCUUAAAGUGGACUUUGAAAUAACACUUAUACAAUGACAACCACUGGUUUAAUUAACUGCCUAACUAUCCUUAGCUGUCUUUAAGACUAAGAAUGCUUGGUAACUUAUUAAUGACUUCAACUUUAGGUGUGAUAAGAGCUAGAAAACAGCAACAAAUCUGAAAAUGACCAAUUACAAUUUAUAUGUAGCCAGCCAGCCAGCCAGCAAAUACUAUCUGUUGCCAAACACGGUGCUUACUACCAGGAAUGCAGAGCUUAUGAAGACAUUAUCCUAAAGAGCCUACAUCUGAGUGGAGACAGGUAGGAGCCUGCAUCUUUAGUCAGAGAGACAUAUGGUCCCCAGCUAAUGACACAAUUAGAUGAGCUUCCCUCUCAGGCUUUUUCCUGGGGGAUUGUGUGACCCAUGGAGCCAGAUCUAUUUUCUGCUGCCUUUUAUUCCUGUGCUCUCAGGUGUGCUGCUGGCCUUGGGGGACUCCAGUGGUUCUGGCUUCUUCCCAGGGGCUGCAUCCUGAAAUCCUGGGUUAAGGUGGGGAGAAAGCUGAAGCAGCGCACACAGGGUGACUUGGCCAGUCCACCAUUGCCCUCCAGUGGUCAAUUGCAGGGAAGUGGGGAAGGAAGAAUUGUGAGAAUGAAAUUCUGAGACUUGUGUCUAUGGAAAAAUAAGGGGGUUCUGGAAUGGCUCCCCAGAUAAAGGUUGGGAAAAGAGGAACUGGGAACCAUAGUUGAGGAUUAAGAUUCACUAAUGACGGGAUACCUUGAGAGGUGUGCACGGAGAGAACUAGGAACGAAAUCUACAUUGGUUUCCCAAUUUGGAUUUUGUCAGGAGAAAUAGUAACUGGCUGAAAAAAAUGACCAGGCUGCCUUGGGAUUAGAAAGCAUGGUGCCAGACGGCAGGGGAAUGGCCAUCUAUAGCUGUACACCUUGUCUUCUCAGGACACCCUUUCCAAGGUUCUAGGGAGACCCUGAUCUAGAAUUUUUACCUCCAGAUUCAUAGGCAGAAGGAGCGCAAUUCUCCUGAAAUAAAAUUGGUUGCAGA